AGGGAAGGCGUAGGGAAACCGAGUCUUAAUAGGGCGCUUAGUUGCAGGCUGUAGACCCGAAACCCGUCGAUCUAUCCAUGUCCAGGGUGAAGUUGUGGUAACACACAAUGGAGGCCCGAACUCACGCCUGUUGAAAAAGUCGGAGAUGAGGUGUGGAUAGGAGUGAAAGGCUAAUCAAGGCGGGUGAUAGCUGGUUCUCCUCGAAAGCUAUUUAGGUAGCGCCUCAUGUAUCACUGUAGGGGGUAGAGCACUGUUUCGGCUAGGGGGUCAUCCCGACUUACCAAACCGAUGCAAACUCCGAAUACCAAUGAGUACUAUCCGGGAGACAGACUGCGGGUGCUAACGUCCGUAGUCAAGAGGAAAACAAUCCAGACCGCCAGCUAAGGCCCCAAAAUCAUAGUUAAGUGGGAAACGAUGUGGGAAGGCUUAGACAGCUAGGAGGUUGGCUUAGAAGCAGCCAUUCCUUUAAAGAGGGCGUAAU
rnacentral:rRNA from 1 species